rnacentral:misc_RNA from 1 species
GAUGAAGAACGCAGUGAAAUGCGAUAAGUAAUGUGAAUUGCAGAAUUCAGUGAAUCAUCGAAUCUUUGAACGCACAUUGCGCCCCCUGGUAUUCCGGGGGGCAUGCCUGUUCGAGCGUCAUUUCACCACUCAAGCCUCGCUUGGUAUUGGGCAACGCGGUCCGCCGCGUGCCUCAAAUCGACCGGCUGGGUCUUCUGUCCCCUAAGCGUUGUGGAAACUAUUCGCUAAAGGGUGUUCGUGAGGCUACGCCGUAAAACAACCCCAUUUCUAAGGUUGACCUCGGAUCAGGUAGGGAUACCCGCUGAACUUAAGCAUAUCAAUAAGCGGAGGA